rnacentral:rRNA from 1 species
AGUGAACGCUGGCGGUAGGCCUAACACAUGCAAGUCGAACGGCAGCACAGUAAGAGCUUGCUCUUACGGGUGGCGAGUGGCGGACGGGUGAGGAAUACAUCGGAAUCUACUUUUUCGUGGGGGAUAACGUAGGGAAACUUACGCUAAUACCGCAUACGACCUACGGGUGAAAGCAGGGGAUCUUCGGACCUUGCGCGAUUGAAUGAGCCGAUGUCGGAUUAGCUAGUUGGCGGGGUAAAGGCCCACCAAGGGGUCGAUCCGUAGCUGGUCUGAGAGGAUGAUCAGCCACACUGGAACUGAGACACGGUCCAGACUCCUACGGGAGGCAGCAGUGGGGAAUAUUGGACAAUGGGCGCAAGCCUGAUCCAGCCAUACCGCGUGGGUGAAGCAGGCCUUCGGGUUGUAAAGCCCUUUUGUUGGGAAAGAAAAGCAGCAGGUUAAUACCCCGCUGUUCUGACGGUACCCAAAGAAUAAGCACCGGCUAACUUCGUG